UUUUUAUACAGAGGCGCGGAGAGACAGGCUCGAUGAACCGCCGGCAACCCCCACAACGUGGAACGGUGCCAAGUCCUGACAUAUAAAAC
rfam:Hymenobacter sp. PAMC26628, complete genome.